rnacentral:lncRNA from 1 species
GCACUUGAGUUACUAGAUUAUAACAUGAGAAAAGACUACAGAGUUGACACUCGACUUACUAGAAUGAAACAUGAGAAAAGACCACGAAGUCCGCACUCGAGUUACUAGAUUGUAACAUGAAAAAAGACCACAGAGUUAGCACUUGAUUUACUAGAUUGUAACAUGAAAAAAAUCAUGGAGUUGGAAUUCAAGUUACUAUAUUAUAACAUGAGAAAUGACCACGAAGUUGGCACUUGAGUUACUAGAUUAAAACAUGAGAUAAGACCUCCAAACAAGGCACAUAAAGCCCUCCAAGUGAGGCAAGCCAUCAACUUAAUAAAACAAAAUAGCAAAAGAAACAUCAAGCUAUUCAAUUUGAAAUAAAGCACGACACCAAGUACAAGAGGAACUUGUCAUUCCAAUAUCUGAGUACAAAAACAAAAGCAACUUGACAUUAGUAACUCAACAUUACAAUAUCCAAGUACAAGAGUCACAAAAUCAUCUAAAACAACAUUAAGCUUAAAGUCGACAACCUUUUCAUUAAGAUAGAUCACCUCCUCUUGAAGAGUUUGACACUUAUUGGUCUUUUAGAUGUUAAAAUCUGCCUUUGUCAAAAGUCAACUGACCAAAACAAUUGAAGCUUUAUGUCAAUCCUAGUUUUUGCUCAUCAUAUUUUUAGCCGACCUUCGCACACAAGCUGACCAGGCCAUCCAUCUUAAUCUUCACCUCGUUUGCUUUCACUUAAAGAUUCUUGAAUUUUGCCUCAAUCCCUUUCAGUGGUGUCAUCUCCAGAUUUUCACUCGUCACUUUUUGGUUGACCUUCAAAAACAAGCUAGUUGGCCAACCACUUUGAUCUUCACCUUAGUCAUUUUCACUUUUUUCUACUAUAGGUAAUUUCAAGAUAGGACAACAAAAAUGAGGAUAAAUGCAAAAAAAUUAAGAAUGAUGUGAGAAAUUCUCGAAGAAGGUGUUCGAAGUAAAGUAAAAAUAAAUAAAAAUCUAGUAUAAAAGCAAGUUAAAAGUCAUCAUCAGUUUAGCCAAAAAGAGCAACAUGAUAUACCUAAACUGGAAGCAUCUAAAAAAUUUGCCUAUAAUUGAUAGCACCUAAUUGAGUUUGCCCAAGUUGGAAACCUAGCAUAAAAGUUUGCUUAAAGUCUACAAAACAAGACGGAAGAACUACUCUUACAUAAUGGCUUUCAAAUGAACUUGGUCGAAUGACCCAUUUACAAGCAAGCUUGACAUAAUGGCUAAACAACAUUCGAGCACAAUCGAAUGACCCGUUUACAAGCAAGCUCGACAAAAUGACCAAUUUACAUGCAAGCUCAGUUGAAUGACCAAAUGACAUAUGAGCUCAACCAAUUGACCAAUCCACAUGCAAGCUUGAUUGAAUGGUCAAAUAAUAUAUAAGCUCAAUUGAAGAACCAAUCAACAUGCAAACUUUUCAAGUUGGCAGAAUCUGGCCACAAGAACAAUCACGAGGAUUCCUCAUGCUAAUCAAAUUUUAGAGAUUGAAGAAAUUUAUGUACAUAUUUGAGUCCAAAUGUGCUAAGUGGAGUGACCCAAUGGUCCAUUACGAAAUCUUGAUACUUUUAUUGUAACUUUUAAUAAUUAUUAAUGUUUUUUAAUAACAUGUUUCAAACCAAUAAUAUUGCUUAUUUAAAUCACAUAAAUGACAUAGAGUACGUAUAUUUCAUUAGUAAAGAUACUUUAAAAACUCAUAUUUGCUAUCUAAUUUUCUUACUCACUUAUAUUUCAACCUUCAAUAACAUACGUUAGGAUUAUCUAAUCCAAUACAUUCUGCCACAAUGUCUGAAGGUCUGAUAAUAACAUAUUACAACUUUUAUACUAUUAAAAUUUUAACAAUAAUAAGAAUUUGGGAAUAAGUAAAGAGUAGAGAGGAAAGAUAUUUAUAUAUUUUUGCGUAAUUCAAAAUUUUGAAGAAAAGAACGUGGCAUUUUAAAAUCUUUUUCCAUAAGUUUUGAGUUACUUCCAAAAUUAG